CGCAUCUGUGCAUGCAGCAUAUCAAUAAGCGGAGGAAAAGAAACUAACAAGGAUUCCCUUAGUAACGGCGAGUGAAGCGGGAAGAGCUCAAAUUUGAAAUCUUCAAGGUUUUACCUUGACGAAUUGUAGUUUAAAGAAGUGUUUUCUGUUGAAGUUUUGGUAAAAGUUCUUUGGAAUAGGACAUCAUAGAGGGUGAGAAUCCCGUAUUUGACCAUUAUUUUCAGCUGUGUGAUACACUUUCAAAGAGUCGGAUUGUUUGGGAAUGCAGUCCAAAAUGGGUGGUAAAUUUCAUCUAAAGCUAAAUAUUGGCGAGAGACCGAUAGCGAACAAGUACCGUGAGGGAAAGAUGAAAAGAACUUUGAAAGAGAGAGUUAAACAGUACGUGAAAUUGUCAAAAGGGAAGCGUUUGACACCAGUGUUGUUUUCUCGAAAAUCAAUUAAAAAGAGUUAGAUUUUGUUGUGUAUUGACCUUAACAGCUUGCAUUUCAAUUUUCUUGCUUUUUUUAAUGCACUUUUCGUUUAACAAGUCAACAUCAGUUUCUUUUGUUGUAAAAAGGUCAUUGGAAGGUGGCUUUCUUUUCGGAGAAAGUGUUUAUAGCCUUUGACUCCUGCAAUCGGAGAGACUGAGGUCUGCAGCGUAGAUCCUUCGGGGUUAGAUACAUUUGUGCUAAGUUAUAGCUUUUUAUAGACAACUUGUUGACUAUGAUUAGUCUUGUAGCUUACUCGCUUAUGCUAUUUUACCUACGCUUAGGAUGUUGACACACGCGCGUGCUCG
rnacentral:rRNA from 1 species